CCCCUUCUUCCGGCUGGGUUCCACUACCUGCAAGGCUGGAACUGACAGCCACUGUGCAAACAAAAAAAGGCAACAAGCAUGCUGGGACCAUUCUGUCUGCUGUUUGGGUCUCACUUGUCCUGACAACUAAAAAUCAUCAGUGGAAAGAGGUUGCAGCAUUUGAAAAUUAUCAAAAAGCAGCAGAGACAAGUUUGGGUGGUUUCCAGGGGAGAGGCACUGAAAGUGAUUGAUUCCUAUCAAAAGCACAAGGACAGGAAGCUAGAGUCAUCCUAACAAGAGUGAUAGUCUUUCCCCAAGUGAGACCAGGCUGUGCUGUCUGGGGAAAAGCAUUGCUGGCCUUGUCGAGAUGCACCGACGACUCAGCUCAGCUAAGGACUUAACCAGUACAGGACUUGCUGCAGCGGAGCCUGAGCUGGAUAUGGAAAGCAAAAGCUUUGGACUUAAAGCUUCAUCUGAGUGCUCGGCUCCGCUUGGAUGUUUCACAGGUUCUACAGCCCCCAGCUGAAGUUAUGGUCUCCAACCACCCGCUACCUGUUCUCCCUUCCUGCUUUUCCAUCUCCAUAAAUGGCAGCACAUCUGUCCAUGGGCUUAAGAAACACCAGGACCUUCUUAUAGAGUGUCUUACAGUAUCCUUAAAGACUCCCUCCUCCGGGUGGAUCACGAGGUCAAGAGAUCGAGACCAUCCUGGCCAACAUGGUGAAACCCUGUCUCUACUAAAAAUACAAAAAUUAGCCGGGCGUGGUGGCGGGCACUUGUAAUCCCAGCUACUCGGGAGGCUGAGGCAGGAGAAUGUCGUGAACCCGGGAGGCGGAGCUUGCAGUGAGCCGAGAUCGCACCACUGCACUCCAGCCUGGGCAACAGAGGGAGACUCCGUCUCAAAAUAAAUAAAUAAAUAAAUAAAUAAAUAAAUAAAUAAAUAAAUAAAUAAAUAAAAGACUCCUUCUGCACCCGUUCAAAACCACUCAAUAACCUGACAAUUAUUUGCCUACUAAUUAUUUUCUGAAUUCGUUGCCCUGUCUUCUUUCCGACUUCAGCUUUCUAAAAUGAACCCCUCUGGCCAGGCGCGGUGGCUCACGCCUGUAAUCUCAGGACUCUGGAAGGCCAAGGCGGGCAGAUUGCCUGAGGUCAGAAGUUCGAGACCAGCCUGGCCAACAUGGCAAAACACUGUCUCUGCUGAAAAUACAAAAAUUAGCCGGGUGUGGUGGCGGGCACCUGUAAUCCCAGCUACUCGGGAGGCUGAGGCAGGACAAUCGCUUGAACCAGGGAGGUGGAGGUUGCAGAGAGCUGAGAUCACACCACUGCACUCCAGCCUGGGAAACAGGAGGGAAACUCCAUCUCAAAACAAAACAAAAAACAAAAUGAACCCCUCCUUCCCUCCUAUCUGGGUGACUAGUUUCCCCAGUGGUCUCUUUCUCUCUCUCUUCUUCUGGUCUUGGCUCCCAUCUGUAUCCUCC
rnacentral:lncRNA from 1 species